rfam:Mustela putorius furo unplaced genomic scaffold scaffold00059, whole genome shotgun sequence.
UCUAUGCCCCACACCACCCUGAAUGUGCAUUAUCUUAUCUGAUUUUGGAAGCUAAGCAGGGUUGGGCCUGGUUAGCACUUGGAUGGGAGAUCAAGGAAAUGCAAGUCA